CAGUUCGGACUGUAGGCUGCAACUCGCCUACACGAAGUUGGAAUUGCUAGUAAUCGUGGAUCAGCAUGCCACGGUGAAUACGUUCCCGGUCUUGUACACACCGCCCGUCACACCAUGGGAGCUGGUAACACCCGAAGUCAGUAGUCUAACCGCAAGGAGGACGCUGCCGAAGGUGGGAUUAGCGACUGGGGUGAAGUCGUAACAAGGUAAC
rnacentral:rRNA from 1 species